UCAUGGUGGCAUUUCCUCAACUGAAGCUCCUUUCUCUGUGAUAACUCCAGCUGUGUCAAGUUGACACAAAACUAUCCAGUACAAACCAAAAACCAAAAAACAAACAAACAACCAAAAAAACAGAGCUUCUCUGGCAAACUGCUUGGAUCUAGGAUGAAGAAGAUGGAAAUAUGAAUAGCUCUAAUGGUCCAGUGACUUGUUAUUCUGUUGGUCACUGUAGAGAGAUGAAUGUAAAAACAAAACAAAACAAAACAAAACAAAACAAACAAACAAAAAAUACCCCAGCUUUUCCUGCCAGCCAAACCAAAAGCAAGGAAAUCAAAUAAAUUUGUCUGCUAAAAAUGAUUUGAUUUUUCAGGAUUCUGGAUAUACUCAAAGCAAGACUGAUUGGUGCUAAAGAAAAGGGAGAGUGCUUGUGUCACUGUCAUCAUACAGAGUAUGUGGAAAGCCCCAAAGACUGUGCUUGUUCAUGUCAGAGUCUCCAUGCACUGAUUGCUUAGCUCCCUAUUUUGUACAACAUUUCAGGUCUCUACUUUGGAGUUUGACUUCCUUGUCUCAGUCAUAGAGGGCUGUGUCUUCUGCAAAGAAGUUACAAGAUUCAAUCAACAGCUUUUGACACAGACUAGGAAUUUUCUGACAUUUUAAUAUUCUUAGAUCAGCCACUAUGAGAACUGCUAUGCCAGCAAAUGUCCUCAACAUAACACCUUAGAGUCAAAAAAAAAAAAAAAAAUCACUCGUAUCUAACAUACACAAAUACUACCAUACCCAGAACCCAGGCAUUCUUGAGGCAGUGUUGAUGGUAGCAUGUUAUCGUUAAUGGCAAAAGUUAUUCAACAAUGCAACCACUGUUUAUUCUGUUAUUGUUCUUGUAGUAUACUAGAUUUUAUCGCCUGUUUUAUCUUCCAGAUCAUUUCUUUGCUACAUAACAGCUCAGCAGAGUCUUUAGACCUUUAGGGUAGUCAAAACAUCAUAUCCUAACUAUCUCCAACUUAGUAGUACACCAUGUAAAUUAAGAAAUUAUCACAGUAAUUUUCAUUGUGACAUUACACUUAGGAUACCUGGAGUCCUAAGAGUCUAUGUUAUUGUCAUUCUUUCUUUAGAAAUCAGGUCUCUAUAACAUAUCCUGGAUAUUUAUAAUACUGUAUUACUUUGACUAAUACAUUCCUGACAGUAGAAAUGGUAGGGGAUUGGCUGGAUGGGUAUGGAGGACCUUUGGGAUAGCAUUGAAAAUGUAAACAAGGAAAAUACCUAAUUAAAAUAAAAUAAAAAAAAGAAAUCACAUUACAGCUUUAAAUGCAUCAGAAAAUGUCAAGACCUCUUUAAAACCACUAAUUAAGAAAUUGAAAGUGGUAGGCAACACCAUGGGAAGAACAACAAUAUCAACUAACCAGAUGCCCCAAAGCUCCCAGGGACGAAACCACCAACCAAAGAGUACACAUGGAGGGACCUCUGCCUCCAGCCUCAUAGGUAGCAGAGGAAGGCCUUGCCAGGCAUCAAUGGGAGCAGACACCCCUUAGCCCUGAAAAGGCUCAAUGCCCCAGUGUAGGGGAAUGCCAUGGAAGGGAGGUAGAAUUGGGUAGGUGGGUGUGUCGGGGAACACCAUUGUAGAAGCAGUGGGAGGGGAGAUUUGACAGUGGAUUUCUGGUGGGAAUCUGGGAAAGGUGAUAAUAUUUGAAAUUUAAAUAAAGAAAAUACCCAAUUAAAAAUAGAAAACAUUCCCACACAUUAAAUGUUCCACAUAUACUAUAUUUUGAUGUGAAUUAUCAGAGCAUGUUAAGAUUUUUUUCAGCAGUGAGUUGAAUGUAUUAUUUUUCAGAUUUAUGGGACACUACAGCUUUUCAUACAAACUGAGUACACGUUGGGUAGGACAUGGGCAGAAUAUUAAACUUGGUAUUAAAACAAUGCUUUGUGAAGGCACAAAGGAACAUAUUUUCAAGGAAAGGCUAUACACAGAGUAUAGAACAGUUGGAGUGGAAAAGGAGGCAAAGACGCAUCACAACUGGUCAUUAGGCAGCAAAAAUUGCGAGAUAAGUAGGUGGUCAUUUUUCCAAGUCAAUUUUUUGCUAAAUAACAGUUCAGGG
rnacentral:lncRNA from 1 species